rnacentral:rRNA from 1 species
GACGAACGCUGGCGGCGUGCUUAACACAUGCAAGUGGAGCGACGAACCAGGGCUUGCCCUGGGGCAGAGCCGCGAACGGGUGAGUAACACGUGGGUAACGUGCCCCGAUGACUGGGACAACCCGGGGAAACCCGGGCUAAUACCGGAUGUGCCCCCUCACAUCAGUGAGGUGUGUAAAGGAAGCUUCGGCCUCCGCAUCGGGAUCGGCCCGCGGCCCAUUAGCUUGUUGGUGAGGUAACGGCUCACCAAGGCUGCGAUGGGUAGCUGGUCUGAGAGGACGAUCAGCCACACUGGGACUGAGACAUGGCCCAGACUCCUACGGGAGGCAGCAGUGGGGAAUCUUGCGCAAUGCGCGAAAGCGUGACGCAGCAACGCCGCGUGGGGGAAGACGGCCUUCGGGUUGUAAACCCCUUUCAGUUGGGACGAAGGUCGGGCGGUUAACAGCCGUUCCGGCUGACGGUACCUUCACAAGAAGCCCCGGCUAACUACGUG